rnacentral:rRNA from 1 species
UAUGUCUGGGAACUGCCUGAUGGAGGGGGAUAACUACUGGAAACGGUAGCUAAUACCGCAUAACGUCGCAAGACCAAAGAGGGGGACCUUCGGGCCUCUUGCCAUCGGAUGUGCCCAGAUGGGAUUAGCUAGUAGGUGGGGUAACGGCUCACCUAGGCGACGAUCCCUAGCUGGUCUGAGAGGAUGACCAGCCACACUGGAACUGAGACACGGUCCAGACUCCUACGGGAGGCAGCAGUGGGGAAUAUUGCACAAUGGGCGCAAGCCUGAUGCAGCCAUGCCGCGUGUAUGAAGAAGGCCUUCGGGUUGUAAAGUACUUUCAGCGGGGAGGAAGGGAGUAAAGUUAAUACCUUUGCUCAUUGACGUUACCCGCAGAAGAAGCACCGGCUAACUCCGUGCCAGCAGCCGCGGUAAUACGGAGGGUGCAAGCGUUAAUCGGAAUUACUGGGCGUAAAGCGCACGCAGGCGGUUUGUUAAGUCAGAUGUGAAA